UACGGAGGGUGCGAGCGUUAAUCGGAAUUACUGGGCGUAAAGGGCACGCAGGCGGUCUUUUAAGUGAGGUGUGAAAUCCCCGGGCUUAACCUGGGAAUAGCAUUUCAGACUGGGAGGCUAGAGUACUGUAGGGAGGGGUAGAAUUCCACGUGUAGCGGUGAAAUGCGUAGAGAUGUGGAGGAAUACCGAAGGCGAAGGCGGCCCCUUGGGCAUAGACUGACGCUCAUGUGCGAAAGCGUGGGGAGCAAACAGG
rnacentral:rRNA from 1 species